GACGAACGCUGGCGGCGUGCUUAACACAUGCAAGUCGAACGGAGUGGCGAACGGGUGAGUAACACGUGGGUGAUCUGCCUUGCACUUCGGGAUAAGCUUGGGAAACUGGGCCUAAUACCGGAUAGUGCAAGAUGAGCUCGCGGCCUAUCAGCUUGUUGGUGGGGUAAUGGCCUACCAAGGCGUCGACGGGUAGCCGGCCUGCGAGGGUGUACGGCCACAUUGGGACUGAGAUACGGGCAAGGCGCCUACGGGAGGCAGCGGUGGGGAAUAGUGCACAAUAGGCGGAAGCCGGAUGGAGCGACGCCGCGUGGGGGAUGAAGGCCUUCGGGUUGGAAACGCCUUUCGACAGGGACGCGGUACCUGUAUAAGAAGCACCGGCUAACUACGUGCCAGCAGCCGCGGUAAUAC
rnacentral:rRNA from 1 species